AGAUACUGAGAAGAAGCACUGCAUUUUGUUCAAGACUCUGGACAGGUUUUACUGCCAAAGCUGAGGACCUGUCAAGAAGGAAGAAUCAAAAAGAUGAGAAGCCUAUGUGUUGUUAGAGCCCUUUCACACAGAGCUCUUUAGAGAAGCACUGCUUCUUCCAGCCAAGAGGCAAGAAGAUGCUCCCCAGGUUUCUUCCAAUUACCCAAGUUCUCAGCAAAAAAGAUUGGAGCAAUGAUGUGAGACAUGGAAGACUAAGCUUAGGCUGAAUUAGAUCCCACCUACACAUCCUGGUGCUACUGACUCAUCCUGCAGUUCAGCUUGCCCUCUGGAGACAUUUAGCUCUUCCCACCGACCGAGAGCCCUGCAGAAGGGAGCCAAUUGCUGGAGGUGCUUGAGACAAGCAGUCAGGUCUGCCCCAUCUAUGUAUUUUCUUGGUGAGUAGUACACGGCAGUGAUGA